rnacentral:rRNA from 1 species
CCUUAGAGUUUGAUCCUGGCUCAGGAUGAACGCUAGCGACAGGCUUAACACAUGCAAGUCGAGGGGCAGCAUAGGGUAGCAAUACUUGGGUGGCGACCGGCGCACGGGUGAGUAACGCGUAUGCAACUUACCUAUCAGAGGGGGAUAGCCCGGCGAAAGUCGGAUUAAUACCCCAUGAAACAGGGGUCCCGCAUGGGAAUAUUUGUUAAAGAUUCAUCGCUGAUAGAUAGGCAUGCGUUCCAUUAGGCUGUUGGCGGGGUAACGGCCCACCAAACCGACGAUGGAUAGGGGUUCUGAGAGGAAGGUCCCCCACAUUGGUACUGAGACACGGACCAAACUCCUACGGGAGGCAGCAGUGAGGAAUAUUGGUCAAUGGCCGAGAGGCUGAACCAGCCAAGUCGCGUGAAGGAAGAAGGAUCUAUGGUUUGUAAACUUCUUUUAUAGGGGAAUAAAGUGGAGGACGUGUCCUUUUUUGUAUGUACCCUAUGAAUAAGCAUCGGCUAACUCCGUGCCAGCAGCCGCGGUAAUACGGAGGAUGCGAGCGUUAUCCGGAUUUAUUGGGUUUAAAGGGUGCGUAGGUGGUGAUUUAAGUCAGCGGUGAAAGUUUGUGGCUCAACCAUAAAAUUGCCGUUGAAACUGGGUUACUUGAGUGUGUUUGAGGUAGGCGGAAUGCGUGGUGUAGCGGUGAAAUGCAUAGAUAUCACGCAGAACUCCGAUUGCGAAGGCAGCUUACUAAACCAUAACUGACACUGAAGCACGAAAGCGUGGGGAUCAAACAGGAUUAGAUACCCUGGUAGUCCACGCAGUAAACGAUGAUUACUAGGAGUUUGCGAUACAAUGUAAGCUCUACAGCGAAA